rnacentral:lncRNA from 1 species
UUAAAUAGGGUAGAGCGGAGGCCGCUCAAUAGUUUAUUACAACACACCCAUACUUAGCUUAAGGGUGGAUAUAUCACAAUGGUGUAGCUCUACUGCUCGUAUAAACAGGUAGACAUAUCACAUCAGAGUGAAGUGAGAUAGCUUAAGUACUACUACACGCCAAGCGUCAGAGUGAGGCUUGACUAUUUAUUCAUGAUGGCUGAAGCGGUGAAAUUAUACAACGGCACACUCCAAGACCGCAAGACUGACUGGGACUCCUCUAGGCAUCGGACUCGCUAUCAUACUCUUCGUCCAUGAGGUCUCCUUCAUCUAUAUCUGGCCACAUCAACAAGCCAGUGAGUACUUUGAAAGUACUCGCAAGACAGUUUGCACAAAAGAUUAGAUGAAUGCAACAAUUUUACAUGAGGGUUAAUUAUCACAAUUCUCAUGAUAAAAAAAUAAUAGUAAGUUAAGUUAGAGAAGAUAAGUCGGGCGGUAAUCCUCCCGAAAUACCCAAGAAUAUAAAGAUACACCAAUCGGAUGUUUGAAGCAACGCCUCGAAAAGUUAACAGGUAAAACUAAACAACCACCAUCAAGCGUCUAAGCGACACCGCAUACAAGGUAUAAUAAUAAAUUAAAAUGCCACAGUCGGGCGUCUAUGCGACACCACGGAAAGGGCAUAAAAGUAAAUGAAUAUCCAGGUGAUACAACCAACCUUCAGGAUAUUUGAUAUAACCAAGUUUCAUCAUGGUAGUUCCAUCAUCAUAGUCACAUGUCAACAUUUAGCACUUCCAGAAACAAACUUGUUCUCCAGAGACCGACAUUUAGGUUGACACGUGACUUGUCAACCCGUCGCCCUUGACCGUGGACACACCUACUCGAAUAAUUUUGACUCUGCAGAGGGUGUACUUUUUACCCAUAGCCAGCAGGUUUCCAGUCACUAAGACUAAUCCCGUGUACGGUAUUUCAGAAGCAAACGCUUAGACCAGCACACACCUGUUUUUACCCAACGAGGCCCGGAAUCACCCGGGUCACGCUUCCACGGAAAAUCUAUAAGGCGGGGAGGCCAACAUCCUUAAUUAGCAUGGGAUCCAAUUUCUACCGCGCGCUACAAGGGGAUGCCCCCCUCUCGCUCCCAGACAAGAAACACCCAUGCCCCCUGAUCGGAUGACUCACAUUAUUCCAGGCCCAUGGAACCUUCAUCCUGACCCCUCUACUUGGUAUGUAUCUGAUAAUAGGUUUACGACCUACUACACCAUAUUCCCUUACGAAAAUACAUGUGGUAAUAUGGAAAUUAAGGUGAAGCACUCACAAGAUUUGGUCUAUGCCACCACUGGAGUUACUAAAUUUAUCCGCAUGGUGUCAUGCAUCUGUCNNNNNNNNNNNNNNNNNNNNNNNNNNNNNNNNNNNNNNNNNNNNNNNNNNNNNNNNNNNNNNNNNNNNNNNNNNNNNNNNNNNNNNNNNNNNNNNNNNNNNNNNNNNNNNNNNNNNCUAGGCGGACGGCAAAGGGCCCCAAGCAGACGACAAAGGGGAGGGGUGUGUGGGGUGGCGUUUCGGCCGUUGGGGGGGGGGCUUUGCCGUCCGCCCUCUCUUUGCCGUCCGCGUAGGGCUUCUUUGCCGUCGGCCAGCGGACGACAAAGAAGUGGCCGACGGCAAAAUAAUCUUUUUCCAUCUGCCACCUCUUUGCCGUCAGCACUGUGACAGCUGACGGCAAAGAAUACCUUUGCCAUGUGUCAGCUGACGGCAAAGGCCAAGCAGACGGCAAAUUUAUGAAUUCCAGUAGUGUAAUAAACGAAAGAUGUCGUCAACAACAUUCUUCUAGUUUCGUUACCGGGGAGUGCUAGCAGCAUUCUUCUGGUGCCAUUGCAGGGGAAGGUCUGCUGUCACGGAAUCACCAGCACACACCCGUUUUUACCCAGCGAGGCCCGGAACCACUCGGGUCACGCUUCCAAGGAAAAACUAUAAGACGGGGAGGCCAACAUCCUUGAUUAGCAUGGGAUCAAAUUUCUACCACGCGCUACAAGGGGGUGCCCCCCUUCUCGGUCCCAGACUGAAAACACCCAUGCCCCCUAACCGGAUGACUAGCAUUAUUCCAGGGCCCUGGAACCUUCAUCCCGGCCCCUCUACUUGGUGUGUGCCUGAUAAUAGGUUUGCGACCUACUACACCGUAUUCCCUUCCGGAAAGACAUGUGGUAGUACAGAAAGUAAGGUGACACACUCACAAGACUCGAUAUAUGUCGACACUGGAGUUAUUAAAUUUAUCCACACUCUGUCGAGCAUCUAGCAUGAUCCGGCCACAACCUAUCACAUCCCACGUGACUAGCCUGUCCACAAAUUCUCAUCAUCACCUUGGUGAUCAACUUUGUCAAGCAUGGAAUCAUAUCAUAUCCGAGUGUUCUUAGGAAGGAGUUUAUUUGCAAUCCUAUUAGCAAACAUCACAUCAAUUAAUUAAAUAGCUUGCCUCGGUCGAUGAAGUUGGGAUUUAGCUCGGUGAAGUUGACGACAACGUCUCCCCCUUCGGUAUCUACGUCACACACAUCCGAUCUAACAUAAAUACAAAUAGUCCAAAAUAUUGUCCCAAAGUAUUUUUGACUAAAUAUCAAAAAAUAACUGGACAGGAAAAUAAUUAUUUUGCAAAAAGAAUCAAGUGAAAAGACCCUAUAGUUUAAAAGUUAUAAAGGAAUGAAGGGGGCUGACGAGAAAGAAGAAAACGACUUGGUGGAACUACACGAUCCUAUGCCGAAGGCGCACUCUCGCGAAAUACGCGAGAGGAGAAUGAUUCGCAUAAAAACAGGACACUCACAAUGGGCCACCAAUGUCAGGUUUCAAAUCACCUCGCCGGCGAUAGGAGAAUAGCGAUGUUGCCGACGACAUUUUGAUGUGAACCAGAGGGAAAGGAGUGGGUAUAUGCACUCACUGGAUGAUUCCGCAACUGAGGGAGGUGGAGGACGUCGCCGGUGAGCACUACGUGGACGGCAACUCCAACUCCGGCGGAUGACGCUUUCAGGUACAUAUGGAUCUCAUUGGUGAGGCCUGCGAACGCCGAAUUGAAGCACGAGUUAGAUGAGAGGGUGCUCUAGGAGGUUACUUGCUAAGUCUGGGCCGCGGAGAUACGCUCACCUGAGUGAAUUUAACCGAAACCCGAAGCUAAUCGGGGCAGUCGGAGGCGGGGAAGACGACCCUCCAAAGGCCCUUCGAGUUGUUUUGGCGAGACUCUCGUGAGGUAAGGAGGAGGGGAUGGCUUCACAAGGACUCUAGGGCUCUAUUUAUAGGCGAGCGAGA